CCCUUAGAUGUCCUGGCCGCACGCGCGCUACACUGAGUGUCUGAGAUACGAGUCUGCCUGGUCCGGCAAGGUCUAGGUAAUCGCUAAAAGACACAUCAUGCUUGGGAUAGAUUAUUGCAAAUAUUAAUCUUGAACGAGGAAUUCCUAGUAAGCGCAAGUCAACAGCUUGCGUUUAUUACGUCCCUGCCCUUUGUACACACCGCCCGUCGCUACUACUGAUUGGAUGUUUAAGCGAGGUUCUCGAACUGCUAGCGACUUAGCUUCGGUGAGGUCGCAGUGUGGGAAGUGAACCUAGCUUUGGUGUCUAGAGGAAGUAAAAGUCGUAACA
rnacentral:rRNA from 1 species